UUCGCGUUCUGUCAUUCGCAUGGGGGUGUCGCAUGAAUGGAGAAAUUGGGAACAUAAUUUUAAAUUUCACGCUAAGCAUACACCCGAGAUAGUCAACAAUAAUGUCAACCCAUAUAUGGCAAAAAUUGCAUAAAUAGCAUACGCAGUUUUGUGAAACGGUUGACGAUGGUGACAGUUUAAAUGUAUUAUAAUUCGUUGAUUUUUGUGUAAACAUCGCGUUAACCUUAACACAGAACCUGGAUAUUUAGGUAAGUAAUAUACGACUUUUAGUAAAUUGCAGUGAUUGGAGCCCGUGGAAGGUCAGUGGAUUUUCCCUGUGCAACAGCGUUGCUUACCGCAAGAACCGCAAUAAGAGGUUCUUCAAAUUUCCAAGAGAUCAACGAAAACAGCAGCUUUGGAGAACAAUUUGUAACAUCGACCCUGGCGUUAGAUGUAUGGUCGUUCACUUUGUCCUUUUGCCGUUCUAACAGCUGGUGUCUUCAAUGACCGGGUUAAUAAAGAACAUUCUUAUUGUACUGUAGAGCUGAAGUAGAAACUAAAAACUUAGAACAUUCCUCUUGUGAUGCUACAAAAAGUUUAAAGGUUCUGAAAUGUUAUGUGAGUGAAACUUCCUUCAUUAGCGAAGCCAGAUUUAGCCCCUGCCCUGAAUGAGCAAUGUCAAAAUUUUGAAUUAGUUAAAGGAAAUUUGCCAAUAUAUAUAACUAGAUGAGGGGAUUUCUACUUAUUGCGAAAAAAAAACAAAGGUACGUUUUCUUUUUUGUUCUUCCAAUUGUUAACAUUAUAUUAUUUUCCGUUUCUGAAUGGUGAGAACAAUUUAUGAAAAAUUCAUCAGCUUUUUACAAUUAUCUUCUACUUAUCAUUAAAAUUUCGAUUAGAUGAAGCAAAUCACGUUUGUGCCUCCGUAAACUGUCAUAUGAAACUGGGAAGUAUUUUUUUAAAUGGAAAAUGUGUUUAAACGACUAUUCUCACCUGAGGAUGACCACUUUGUGGUUGAAACACGUUGUGUUUUAAAUACAAAUUUGGUGUGACGGGUUUAGUCGUGUUUUUGUUCAUAUAUUGAAAUUAAGUUGUACAUGAAAGAAUUACAUAGUAUAGUAAAAUUCAGGAGGGUAGACCGGUGCGUCAUCAAUUUCAUUUUUUCAUUACCAACUUAAAAGUGAAAUAAAAAAUUCUAUCACAAUGUAAAUUGAAACAAUUAAAGGGUCUCUAAGGAUGGUA